GGCGUGUACUGCUUGGCUGGGCCUUACUUCUUGGUGAGCCGGCGUGCCCUUUAUUGGUGUGCGUUGGGGAACCAGGACUUUUACCUUGAGAAAAUUAGAGUGUUCAAAGCAGGCCUAUGCCUGAAUACAUUAGCAUGGGAAUAAUAGAAUAGGACGUGCGGUUCUAUUUUGUGGGUUUCUAGAGUCACUGUAUGAUUAAUAGGGACAGUUGGGGGCAUUGGUAUUGAGUCGCUAGAGGUGAAAUUCUUGGAUUGACUCAAGACCGACUAUUGCGAAAGCAUUUGCCAAGGAUGUUUUCAUUAAUCAAGAACGAAGGUUAGGGGAUCGAAAACGAUCAGAUACCGUUGUAGUCUUAACAGUAAACUAUGCCGACUAGGGAUUGGAUGACCUCAAAAUUGAUGUGUCAUUUGGCACCUUACGAGAAAUCAAAGUCUUUGGGUUCUGGGGGGAGUAUGGUUGCAAGGCUGAAACUUAAAGGAAUUGACAGAAGGGCACCACCAGGUGUGGAGCCUGCGGCUUAAUUUGACUCAACACGGGGAAACUCACCAGGUCCAGACAUAACUAGGAUUGACAGAUUGAUAGCUCUUUCAUGAUUUUAUGGGUGGUGGUGCAUGGCCAUUCUUAGUUGGUAGAGUGAUUUGUCUGGUUAAUUCCGAUAACGAACGAGACCUUAACCUGCUAAAUAGCCAGGCCGGCUUCAGCUGGUCUCUGGCUUCUUAGAGGGACUGUCAG
rnacentral:rRNA from 1 species